GCCCUCGUAUGCAUCUGGUGAGGCAGCCUGAUUGUCGAUCAGGUGAGGGGAGUUCGAUCCUCCUCGGGGGCGCCC
rnacentral:tRNA from 1 species